UACGUAGGGGGCAAGCGUUGUCCGGAUUUAUUGGGCGUAAAGAGCGUGUAGGCGGCCAGAUAGGUCUGGUGUGAAAACUCGAGGCUCAACCUCGAGAGGUCACUGGAAACCAUUUGGCUAGAGUCCGGAAGAGGAGAGUGGAAUUCCUGGUGUAGCGGUGAAAUGCGCAGAUAUCAGGAAGAACACCUAUGGCGAAGGCAGCUCUCUGGGACGGUACUGACGCUGAGACGCGAAAGCGUGGGGAGCGAACAGG
rnacentral:rRNA from 1 species